AGACCUAGGGGGUCUCUGUCCAGAGAAUCGGCCUCUUCCAAACCUUUCACCUAGACCUCUGCUAGGUCUACCAAAUUUCUUCCUCUUCCCAGAAGUACCACUAAGACUUGGCUUUACUGACUUUUCCCCCUUAUCUUUCUCUGAUUUCUCAGCUUUCUCUGAUUUUUCUUUUGUUGGGGUCACUUCUGAUUCAAUUCUUUCCAACUCAAAUGCCUGAGAGAUGAGCUCUGAGAAGUUACUGUGUCUGAAUCCCACUACUUGCAUCCUCAAACUGGGCUUCAAACCCAUCUCAAAUCUCUUGCACCUUUCCUUGCCAGUAGAAAGGAGACUCCCAGCAUAGUGGCUUAAGCGGGAGAACUCCCUCUCAUACUCUGCCACUGAUCUAUUCCCUUGUUUUAGACUCAAAAACUCUUGCAAUUUCUGAUCAACAUAUGCAUCUGGGAUGUAUUUCUGUCUGAACUCUCUGAUGAAGUCAUCCCAGGUCAGCACUGGUGGUUCAGCCAAGCUGUGGGGGAUGGUCUUCCACCAAUCAUACGCAUCCCCUUGCAGUAGCGACACAGAAUAUUCCAACUUCAGCUCAUCUUGGCAGUACAGUUUCUUAAACACUCUGUCCAUUCUUUCAAGCCAUUGCUCUGCCUCUAAAGGGUCCACUGUACCCUUAAAUUCUGCAGCCCCAUACUUCAAUAACUUGUCAUACUGUCUGGCUGGAGGCAAUGGUUGUGCCACAGGUGGUUGUGGUGGAGCUUGAGCAGGCAUACCCCCAGCCAUUUGUUGAAACAUUGCCGCUAUCUGCUGUGCGAACUGUGCAGGAAUUUGCGGCAUUUGUGGGGCUGGUGCUGCUGACCCACUAACAUUCGGUAAAGCUGGGGCUUCCCCUUGUGCCUCAGCUUCAACAGACUGCUCAACUGAGCGAUCCCCUUCUUCCAUUUCAGUCUGAAGUUAGGGUAUCUCCUGAACAAAUAACACAAGGAGAUUUCCCUCCGUUAGUUCAUAUUCAUGAUGUAAUGCACUGUAUGUAACAAUUAUGGACAUUGAGCAGUUGUACUUAACAAAGAAAAACACAAAUUCACAAUUUAAAACAUAAUUCAAAAACUUGCUCUGAUACCACUAAAACAUGUCACACCUUACCCCUCUGUAA
rnacentral:misc_RNA from 1 species